rnacentral:rRNA from 1 species
UACGAGGGGGGGCGAGCGUUGUUCGGAAUUAUUGGGCGUAAAGGGUGCGUAGGCGGUUUGGUAAGUCUUGUGUGAAAUCUACAGGCUCAACUUGUAGUCUGCACGAGAAAUUGCCGGGCUUGAGUGUGGGAGAGGUGAGUGGAAUUCCUGGUGUAGCGGUGAAAUGCGUAGAUAUCAGGAGGAACACCUGUGGCGAAAGCGGCUCACUGGACCAUAACUGACGCUGAUGCACGAAAGCUAGGGGAGCAAACAGG